CCCCCCUCACCCCACCUCUCCACACUCAGGACUAUAGCAACACCUUGCAGAGAUCUCUCCUAUUGGUUCGUUAAAAGGUUAGAUCCAGCCUCCUAUUGGUUCAGUACAAGGUGAGCUCCUUCCUCCUAUUGGUUAUAUAAAAGGUUAGAUCCAGCCUCCUAUUGGUUCAAUACAAGGUGAGCUCCUUCCUCCUAUUGGUUAUAUAAAAGGUUAGAUCCAGCCUCCUAUUGGUUCAAUACAAGGUGAGCUCCUUCCUCCUAUUGGUUAUAUAAAAGGUUAGAUCCAGCCUCCUAUUGGUUCAAUACAAGGUGAGCUCCUUCCUCCUAUUGGUUAUAUAAAAGGUUAGAUCCAGCCUCCUAUUGGUUCGU